AGUGAACGCUGGCGGUAGGCCUAACACAUGCAAGUCGAACGGCAGCACAGUAAGAGCUUGCUCUUACAGGUGGCGAGUGGCGGACGGGUGAGGAAUACAUCGGAAUCUACUUUUUCGUGGGGGAUAACGUAGGGAAACUUACGCUAAUACCUCAUACGACCUACGGGUGAAAGCAGGGGAUCUUCGGACCUUGCGCGAUUGAAUGAGCCGAUGUCGGAUUAGCUAGUUGGCGGGGUAAAGGCCCACCAAGGCGACGAUCCGUAGCUGGUCUGAGAGGAUGAUCAGCAAAACUGGAACUGAGAAACGGUCCAGACUCCUACGGGAGGCAGCAGUGGGGAAUAUUGGACAAUGGGCGCAAGCCUGAUCCAGCCAGACCGCGUGGGUGAAGAAGGCCUUCGGGUUGUAAAGCCCUUUUGUUGGGAAAGAAAAGCAGCAGGUUAAUACCCCGCUGUUCUGACGGUACCCAAAGAAUAAGCACCGGCUAACUUCGUG
rnacentral:rRNA from 1 species